rnacentral:lncRNA from 1 species
UACUCAAUUUGGAUUUGAACAGGCCAGUUCAAAGUCAUGUCUGGAGCCAUAGGUGGUCAAAGUCAACAGAAUGAUCAACCAAAAGAUGUCAGUUAUUAUGAGAAGCGCCAUCAAGAGGACACAAAGAAGGAUAGCAGUACACCACAAGGUAAGUUAUUCACUAUGAAAAAUAAAUAAAUAGAAAAAUGGCUUGCAUUAAAUGUUUUUUCAUACCUGAUACAGUUGCAUCUUAAAAGAAACCUGUAUGUCUUUCGAGUUUUUAAUGUAUCUUGGUUUUUGAGCAAAGAUGUCAAAGUAUGUCCCUUAAAUUUUGCAAUCUCCCUUUGUUCUGAAGGUUUGCCACUGUCAUAGCUAUGGCUACGAUUUUUGUUUAUGGCCCACCAUAUUGUUUUCAGAUGGAGAUACUUUGUAGUUCCAUACUAAUUACUGGACUUGAAACGUGAAUUCCCAUUGGACAGCUGGCUUUAUGCAUUUGAAUUUAGACAUCACAACAAAGUCAUUUAGUUGCAUAAAUGCCUUGUCAGCUAUAAACAAAUUUGGCUAUGGUCGUUGGAAUAUUUAAUGCAAUGCAAGCCGUAUAAUAGACUCAAGGUCUCUAUAUAGCUUGACAGGGGGCUUUUACGUUCUUUGAAUUAGUGCUUUUAAUUAGGAUCAAUAAAGAUCAUCAUUUAGAUCACAAAACAAGAAAAACAACUUCAGUAAUGGGAUAAUGUUAGCACCUGAAAAUGCCAGAAGAAUCUUGGAUAGCUUACUACUAAUAUUCCUCUUAUAUAAUGCUAGGAUAUGGCUCCUGAGUAUUGGUUUAUCUUUUUUGCUACCUUCCACAGGUGUCUUGUGUUCUUAUGUUUUUUUUUAAUGUUUUCGUAAUUGUUUUAGUGACUUUUAUGUUAAUGUAUUGAUUUAAAUGUUCACCAAUUUAUAACGCACGUGCAAUACUUUUAUACAAAAUUAAAUAUGCACCUAAUAAUAGGAUUACAACUUUUUGAUCUUUGUUUUUGAUGUACUACUAUGCACAUUAAGGAUAAUUCUAUUCGGGAAUUUGUACAUAUGAAUAUUCUUGUUUAAAAUCAAAUAAAAAUUGAAAGUGGAAAAAAAUAUAUAAAUAUAUAUAAAUUUUAACUAUAAAAAGGCCCAGGGGAAAGCAUUAACGAAUUAGCAUCUUCCUAAACGGCUGAUUAUUUUGUUGUCUUGGCAACGCAGACUUACAGUUUUUGGAAAGCGUGGUAUGCAGAUAAAUGUGAAUGACUUGUUAUCUUUUAUUAUUUGAGUUUGGUAGUUUGUGCAUGUAUUUCAAUCCCUUAUCUGUACAAUGCAUUUCAAAAAACUCCAGCGUGGAGAGCAAAGUUCAAGAACAUGUGCAGGAGUGGAGGUAAAUCAGUACUUCCAGACAAUUAAUGUAAAAUGGAGACUAUACCCUGAUAUGUUUACAAGUACACAUCAGUUAAAUAAUACAGGUCACUCAUAAUGUGACUACUUUGACUAGUAAAUCUGAAUUAAUAUGGCUGCAUUGAUGUGAAUUUGCUAGUAAUAUAUCCGCACUAAGAUGUUCCACAAAGAUAAACAAUAAAGAUCAUAGAAACAAAUAUAACAAUUAUGAUAUAAUAUAAAAUGCACGUAUAAAAAUGUGUUAUUUAAAUUAUAUUUAUUUAUAUAUGAUAUAUUUUGGAAAUAAUUUUUGUAUUUUUAUAAAUUUAAAAUAUGUCCAUGUGUGUUUGUCAAUAGUAGACCAAGUGGCACCUGUGGUACCUCAGCCAACUGCAUCCCAGCCAGCUAAGAAUCAACCAGCUGUGAGUCAGCCAGCCCAAACUCAGCCAGCUGUUAGCCAACCAGCUGUGAGCAAACCAACUGCGAGUCAACCUGCCCAAACUCAGCCGGCCACAGGCCAACCAGCUGUGAGUCAACCAACCGAAACUCAGCCAGCUGUGAGCCAACCAGCUGUGAGCCAACCAACUGUGAGUAAACCUGUCCAAACUCAGUCAGCCACAGGUCAACCAGCUGUGAGUCAACCAACCGAAACUCAGCCAGCUGUGAGCCAACCAGCUGUGAGCCAACCAACUGCGAGUCAACCUGCCCAAACUCAGCCGGCCACAGGCCAACCAGCUGUGAGCCAGCCAGCUGUAAGUCAACCAACUGAAACUCAGCCAGCUGUGAGCCAACCCGCUGUGAGUCAACCAGCCCAAACUCAGCCUGCCAACAGCCAAUCAGCUGUGAGUCAACCAGCCCAAACCCAGCCAGCCAAGAGUCAGCCAGGCAGUCACGUGUAGUCAUUAUGCAAGAAAUAACAAUUUAAGAAGGCACAAGGAGGCCCACAUUUUGGGGGGGGGGGGGGG